UGAAGGGCUCCUCAAGUGCCCCCAUAGUGGAAGCCCAGGCAGAGGAGGCGCCAAGAGCGAGUGAGGGCUGUGAGGACUGCCAGCACGCUGUCACCUCUCAGCAUUGCCCAAGGAGAGUGGGCUAUGCGGGAGGAAAGAGAGAACUAGAAAGGAUUAUCUUGAUUAUUUAUAGAAAAGGUACAAGUGCUCCAUGGAGAAAAUGGUGAUUCAGCGCCUGAGCCAUGAAAUAUACAAGAUGAGCCUGGAGAAUCCUGCAGUUCUAGAAGGGUGCUCCUUGACAUCCUAUGAAAGAAUGUCCUUGAAGAAAGAUGCUAAAAUGUUCAACGAUUUUUUUAAAGCAGAAAGUCUGAAGUAGCUGCGGUGAGUGACAGCUGAACACAAAUUUCUGACUACUAGAAGAGGAGUCAUGUUAACAGUACAUAAAUAUUCACAGAGAUGGUAUCUUUAAAUAUAACUUGCAAAUAAUCUCACAGUAAAAAUGUAUUUUUAUAUUACCCAGUGGAAUUAAAGUGAACUUUUC
rnacentral:lncRNA from 10 species